GCCUGGGUGGCUCAGUCGGUUAAGCAUCCGACUUCGGCUCAGGUCAUGAUCUCACGGUUUGUGGGUUCGAGUCCCACAUGAGGCU
rnacentral:tRNA from 1 species